rnacentral:rRNA from 1 species
AUGGAUGCGUUUACCAGUACUAAUGCACUAGAUCACAUCAGAACUCUGCAGUCAAACGUGCUUGAGAAAAAGUAGUACUAGGAUCAGUGACCUCCAAGAAAUGUUCUGACUUAUGCUUG